rnacentral:rRNA from 1 species
AUGUCAGCGCGGGACCGGGAGACGAUCAAGGCGCUCGCGCGCGUCGUGGCCGCGCUUGACGGGGCGGUGCUCGGCCUCGGCACGGCGGCGCUCGCGGCCGUGUCCCUGGCCAAGUACCUUGUCGCAUCCGGGGCGCUCUGCCUCAUCGCCGAGGCGCCGGCCCUCGCGAUCCCCGACCUCCGCUACUCCCUCCUCGCGGGGCUCGGCAACGGCGAGUCGCGCCUCGCCGUCGUGCGGGGCCUCGUAUGCUCCCCACCCGGGGGCACGUUCCUCAUCCCCCUGGCCCCCGCGAGCACUGCAUCGUCACCAGGCACACCCAGACGGUGA